ACUCAGUGCUACGCUCCGAAGGGAGUUGAAGAUGAAAUUGCUGGCAGUUAAGGCAGUGCUGAAUGACGCCGAGGCCAAGCAAAUCACGAAUUCAGAUGUCAAAGAUUGGAUGGAUGAGCUGAAAGAUGCUGUGUAUGAUGCGGAGGACCUGGUGGAUGAUAUCACCACUGAAGCUUUACGAUGCAAGAUGGAGUCUGAUUCUCAAUCUCAGGUACGGAACAUCAUCUUUGGUGAGGGGAUCGAGUCCAGGGUAGAGGGGAUCACUGACACACUAGAAUAUCUUGCACAAAAAAAAGAUGUUCUCGGGUUGAAAGAAGGCGUUGGAGAAAAUUUGUCAAAAAGAUGGCCGACGACUUCCUUGGUAGAUGAGUCUGGGGUGUACGGUAGGGAUGCUGAUAAAGAGAAGAUAGUUGAGUCUUUGUUGUUCCAUAACGCAAGUGGGAAUAAGAUAGGUGUGAUCGCCUUGGUGGGUAUGGGCGGUAUUGGAAAGACCACCCUUACCCAGCUGGUCUAUAAUGAUAGGAGAGUGGUGGAAUAUUUUGAUCUUAAAGCAUGGGUUUGUGUUUCAGAUGAAUUUGAUCUUGUCAGGAUAACGAAAACCAUUCUUAUGGCAUUCGAUUCUGGGACUUCUGGAAAAUCGCCUGAUGACGAUGAUUUGAAUCUGCUUCAACUUAAAUUGAAGGAGAGACUUAGCAGGAAGAAAUUCUUACUUGUCCUUGACGAUGUUUGGAAUGAAGACUAUAAUAUUUGGGAUUUGCUGCGAACUCCAUUCAGUGUUGGUCUAAAUGGAAGUAAGAUUAUUGUAACCACACGAAUCAAGAAGGUUGCUGCAGUCAUGCAUUCAGCUCCUAUUCAUCCUUUAGGACAGUUAUCCUUUGAAGAUUGUUGGUCCCUAUUUGCAAAACAUGCAUUUGAAAAUGGAGAUUCUAGUUCACAUCCAAAGCUAGAAGAAAUUGGCAAGGAGAUUGUAAAAAAGUGUGAUGGAUUGCCUUUAGCUGCAAAAACCCUUGGAGGUGCCUUAUAUUCAGAGGUUCGAGUAAAAGAAUGGGAAAAUGUAUUGAACAGUGAAAUGUGGGAUUUACCAAAUAAUGCGAUUCUUCCUGCCUUAUUCUUGAGCUACUAUUAUCUUCCUUCACAUCUAAAACGAUGUUUUGCAUAUUGUUCUAUUUUUCCUCAAGACUACCAAUUUGACAAGGAAAACUUGAUUUUACUGUGGAUGGCAGAAGGGUUUUUGCAACAAUCAAAAAAAGGUAAGAAAACAAUGGAAGAGGUAGGUGAUGGGUACUUUUAUGACCUAUUAUCAAGGUCAUUUUUUCAAAAGUUUGGUAGCCACAAAUCAUAUUUUGUAAUGCAUGAUCUCAUUAGCGACUUGGCUCGAUUUGUUUCUGGAAAAGUUUGUGUUCAUUUGAAUGAUGAUAAGAUAAAUGAAAUUCCUGAAAAGCUUCGUCACUUAUCAAAUUUUAGAGGCGGAUAUGACUCCUUUGAGAGAUUUGACACCCUUAGUGAAGUUCAUUGUCUUCGGACCUUCUUGCCAUUGGAUUUGAGGACUCGGCAUCGGUUUGACAAGGUUUCAAAGUCAAGAAAUCCAGUUAAGAGUGGAAGGUAUGGUGGAGUGUUUUACUUGAGUAAUAGAGUUUGGAAUGAUUUAUUAUUGAAAGGUCAAUAUUUACGAGUGUUAUCGUUGUGUUAUUAUGAGAUAACGGAUUUGCCGGAUUCAAUUGGUAAUUUAACACAUUUACGCUAUUUGGACCUUACCUACACACCCAUCAAAAGAUUACCUGAAUCUGUUUGUAAUUUGUAUAAUUUACAGACAUUGAUAUUAUAUUAUUGUGAGCGUCUUGUUGGAUUGCCUGAAAUGAUGUGCAAAAUGAUUAGCUUACGUCAUCUUGAUAUCAGGCAUAGCAGAGUGAAAGAGAUGCCAAGUCAAAUGGGUCAAUUAAAAAUUUUAGAAAAAUUGAGUAACUAUAGAGUAGGCAAGCAAAGCGGGACGAGGGUUGGAGAGUUGAGGGAGCUUUCCCACAUUGGUGGGAGUCUUGUCAUUCAAGAGCUGCAGAAUGUGGUUGAUGCUAAGGAUGCCUCAGAGGCCAAUUUGGUAGGCAAGCAGCGUUUGGAUGAGUUAGAGCUGGAAUGGAAUCGUGAUAGUGAUGUUGAACAAAAUGGAGCAUACAUAGUCCUCAACAACUUACAACCUCAUUCAAAUUUAAGGAGACUCACUAUUCAUAGAUAUGGUGGUUCAAAAUUUCCAGACUGGUUAGGAGGUCCUUCAAUUCUGAAUAUGGUGUCGCUACGUCUCUGGAAUUGUAAGAAUGUGUCAACCUUCCCACCGCUUGGGCAGCUACCCUCCCUUAAACAUUUAUAUAUAUUGGGGUUGGGGGAGAUAGAAAGAGUGGGCGCUGAGUUUUAUGGGACUGAGCCCUCCUUUGUAUCCUUAAAAGCUCUAUCAUUUCAGGAUAUGCCAGUAUGGAAGGAAUGGUUGUGUUUGGGAGGCCAAGGUGGAGAAUUCCCUCGUCUCAAGGAGCUUUAUAUAAAGAAUUGUCCCAAGCUAACUGGGGACUUACCAAACCAUCUGCCUUUAUUGACGAAACUAGAGAUUGAAGAAUGUGAGCAGCUUGUGGCUCCACUUCCAAGGGUUCCAGCCAUCCGUGUAUUGACGACGCGCAGCUGUGACAUCUCACAGUGGAAGGAACUGCCACCACUAUUGCGGAGUCUCUCAAUUACAAAUUCCGACUCUGCGGAGUCUCUACUGGAGGAGGGAAUGUUGCAAAGCAACGCUUGUCUUGAAGAUUUGAGCAUCAUAAACUGUUCUUUUUCCAGACCCCUGUGCAGAAUUUGUUUACCCAUUGAAUUGAAAUCAUUGGCCAUCUAUGAGUGUAAGAAACUAGAGUUUCUCCUACCUGAGUUCUUCAAAUGUCACCACCCUUCCAUUAAACAUUUGGAAAUCUUAGGUGGCACUUGCAAUUCUCUCUCAUUCAAUAUCCCACACGGCAAGUUCCCAAGGUUGGCUAGGAUUCAAAUCUGGGGUCUCGAGGGGCUUGAAUCCCUCUCCAUUUCAAUUUCGGGCGGGGAUCUUACAACUUUUGCUUCGUUGAACAUCGGAAGGUGCCCUAAUCUUGUGUCUAUUGAAUUGCCAGCUCUCAACAUCUCACGAUAUUCAAUCUUCAAUUGCGAGAAUCUCAAGUCGCUGCUGCACAACGCUGCAUGCUUUCAAUCAUUAGUGUUAGAAGAUUGUCCGGAAUUGAUAUUCCCAAUACAGGGUCUUCCCUCCAACCUAACUUCACUAUUUAUUAGAAACUGCGACAAACUCACAUCCCAGGUGGAGUGGGGUCUGCAAGGACUGCCCUCUCUUACCUCUCUCACAAUCUCAGGUCUUCCAAAUCUCAUGUCCCUGGACGGUAUGGGGCUUCAACUGCUCACCUCUCUUCGAAAAUUACAGAUCUGUGACGGCCCCAAGCUCCAAUCUUUGACAGAAGAGCGGCUACCCAGCUCCCUUUCUUUUCUAACAAUCCGCGACUGUCCAUUGCUGAAAGAUCGGUGCAAGUUUUGGACAGGGGAAGAUUGGCAUCUUAUAGCUCACAUUCCACACAUUGUGAUCGAUGACCAAGUUUUGUAAUGAAGGUGGUAUUACACCAAUUUAUAGUCAGUUACUUAUUCUGUCCUCAAAGUAAUUUUCUCAGGAAAACUGACAUGUUAAAUACCAAUUUAAUUUCACCAGCUAUUAGGUUAUAAUAUUCUUAUUUCUAAACUAAAUAGAGGGUAUGAAUAGGAAAAAUAUGCUUUAAAUUUUCUAAUGAUUAUAAUAAUUUCUUGUUUUCUUUCAGGUUAUCCAUAAUUCUUCACUCUGCCACUGAUGCAACAUAUCUUCAUCAGGAAUCUUUUCAGACUCCUUUGCUUAAUUAGCGCCUUGCCGAAUGCUUUAGAUUUCAUCUAGAGUAAAUUGAUGAUUAAAAGCCAAGAAACUCUGCAGGUCUGAUUUAGUAACUUGUGUUUCUUGUAUAAUAUCAUGGACCUUGAGUUCAUUUCCAUUGGCUAAUUCACUGAAAUCUCAUGGCAGGCCUUUAGUUCUAGUUUUCUCAAAAAACUGGAGCUGUCUAGCAAUGAUUUUUCCAAUGGGACCACUUUUUGUUGAGUUCAGAGUAAAGACUCUCUUUCUAGAAGUAGCCGAGAUUUUUUGCAUCCAAACUACAGAAAGCUCGAUUCUGUUGAGAGUGGGGUAUGCUCUAUAAUUCCAAUUAAUAAUCCUUUAGGCAUUAUUUUUUAGGUUCUCUGAGGCUGCAUCUGUUGUAAUAUCUCAGUUCUUCUCUAAAGGCAACAACUAUGUUUCUUUUGGUUCGUACUUUCCAUAAACUGACACCUUGUGGAGUUCCAUCAUUUUCAAAACAAGAUAAACCUAAUACUAAAUUCUACUGAAGCUAAAACAAAAAUCUUACUGCCUGAGGUUAUAUCUUUUGAUGAAUUUUAUUCACUAUGUUCAUAUGGCAUCCGAGUGACCUGGAUGUCAACAUUUUCCUUGGUGCACAUGUUGUUUUCAUCUCUUUUAGCUUUAAUUAAUCUGCAGAUGUUCGGUUUAGGCACCUCACCUCCUAGUCACGCUCAUCUGAUUCUCAUUUACAUGAUUGUAAACUAAUAGUAAAUGAUAAUAUGAGCUCUGAUUUUCAUUUUUUAAAUUUGUAAUUCUGAAGCAGAUACUUGGAGAAGAGAGAAGGCAAACCAUAUUCAAUGUCAUAGCACUGCAGAGUAUGGUUUUGUUCCUCCCAAGUUCAGGUCAGUUGAGUUGAAUCUUAUUAAUACUUGAAGGAUGCAUGAUCAAAUAGUGUCAUAGCACUAUUUGUUAUAUUGGCUUUGUGCUAAGAAAUUGUGAACUAAUUGGAUCUACUCAUACCACCUCCCUCCAUAGAGGAAUUUUAAUAACUAAAUUCUAUUGAUUUGAGCAUGAUUUGAGCUUUUGUUCUCUCCUCAGUUUAUAGUUCAUAGUUUUGCAAUAAAAUUUUUAAAAGUCUAAAAAUUAUCUAUAACCCCACAUGAAUUUCACUGUCAAAUUCUUCUGAGUAACAUGUGACUAUUUUUAUUUUCAGAUGGUGGCAUUUUGAAUCUUUGGAGCAGUUCCCGGAGGAAGCUUUGCCAAAGCCUCCCUAUGCAAUAUAUGGGCCUUUGGUUGCAAGUGAGAUUUGAGGAUUUUAUUUUAUCUUGGAAGACUUCAACUCAUUUUUGUGAGUUUUGUGCUUUGAGUUUUACUUCCAAGUAUGUGCAAAGAAGAAAGGAACGACAAAGAUGGAUUCACUGGAGUUUUAUAUGGAGUAAGACUCCCAUGAAAAAUAUUGUAGCAAUUGGUUUGUCAGCCUUGAAGGUUGUAGUUUUAUUUCCCAUUUUGUUCUUUGAGGAAUGUGUUUGUUGAAUCAUAUAUUUUGAACUUACUGAUUUUGUGUAUAUUCAUUUACAUGUAAAUGAUAUUUUAAUCUUCAUUCAUAUAGAAUUUGCUUCUGUUUUAUAUGCUGAAAGGUUACAAGUUUGCUCUAGGGUUUCACUUCAAAGCCGCUAGAUGAACAAUACAAGGUCAAAUAUUACUUCCAUUGGAAUUUCCAUAUUGUCCUGAUUCAUCAUGUAUCCAGCUAUAGGAAUAAUUCAAGUGAGGUUAGAUAUGCCCUUUUUCUAAGUUUUUAUAUCAUAUAUUUGAAUGAAAUUCAAUUUAUCUAGAUGCUUUUCACAAGGGUUCCUUGACAUUUCAGCAUUUGGAUGGGAAGACUUGGAAUCAUUCCCAAAGGAAUGCUUGAUGCCCUGCACCCUUACCUCUCACCAAAUCUCAGGUCUUAACUGCUCACCUCUAUUUAAAAAAUUACAGAUCUCUGACUGCACAACUCCCUCUCUUUUCUAACAAUCAGGAACUGUCCAUUGCUGAAGCAUUGGUGCCAAUUUUGACAAAGGGAAGAUCAGCAUCAUAUAGCUCAUAUUCCACACAUUGUGGUGGACAACCAAGUUCUGUAAUGAAGGUGCUUGCUCUGUCCUGUAAAAAAUUUUCUUAAGGAAAAAAAAAAAAAGUUAUGCUUAAAUACCAAUUUUUAUUUUCUUUCUGAUUUGUACAUCCUUAAUCACUCUGGUUUUGCUUCCACAUAUCCUCAUAUCUAAUCUUCUAAAUUUCCCUUGCUCAGUUGGUGCCUAUGUUGAAUCUUUCACGCAUCUGCCUAUGAUCAAUUGAUGUUUAUAAAGCUGGUGCACCAAGCAGCUCUCUGUGUAUGAUUUCUUGACCUGUAUUUUUUUUUUCUUUUGUAUUUUUUGUUGUCACUUCCAAGGGUUGGGACUUUGUCUGGAAAUAGGUACCAGAGACACUUUCUUGGUACUUGGCAGUUGAAGGGAUCAACACUAAUGUGUGGCCAAUUAAAUCCUUUUUACCACCUUUUGCAUCCAAAGGCACAUAAGAUCUUGGCACUCUGCUCAAGGGUCCGCAAAAGUAUAAUUUAGAUUAAAUUCAUAUUAAGACAGGUACAUGCUGUAUGCUCAAAAUGAUUUUCUUUCAAAAAUGUUCAGUUACCAAUUCAUUGAGGAGCCAAAGUUGUACUUCAAAAUUUCUAAUUAUUUAAUUUUUAAAUUUCUGAGGUUAAUAUUGGACACUUCCUGUAAGACUGGAAGCAGCUUUCCAGGUAUAAGAAGAGACUUGUCUUCUUGAUAUAUAUUUAUGAGCCUCAAUCUUUUCUGUGGGCUGAUCUAUUGAUAUUCAUUGCAGGCUUUCAAUUAUGAUUUUCUCUCUAAAUACAAGACAUUUGGCCAUGAUCUCCCCAGUGAAACAAUAUUUGAUGACUCUCCCCUGUGGAACACAUAUUUGUAACUAUUCUAAGAUCUUUGAAUUAUGUUCAACUAUAUUCAAGAAUCAUACAUCUACAAAAGUUAUUUGCUGGCCUUGUUAUUGGAGAUUGAAGUGUGCAGGACACUCUGUUUGUCUGAUAUAGAGUUUUUUUUUUUUAAAGCCAGUAGUCUCGAGCAAGGAUAUGAAGAGGAGUAAACGGAGAUUGACGACAGGUAACAUAUUCUUUAUGCACACUUAUUCAAUAAGAAUUGUAAUUUCACAUCUACGUAUUGUAAGAUUUAUAACUUCAUAAGCAUUAUAUGCUGAAUCUAACGCAAGUAUCCUAAGCUUUCAGCUCUGAGUUUCUCAACAUUACUUGAGGCUUUUGAUAACUAUCUAACCAUUUCAGCUCUCUUAAUGAAUCGUUCAUAAAAUGCCUUCUUCCUUUGAUUUUAGAUUUUUUACUUGAGUCCAGAGGGGUAUAAUUUUACCUGCUGAUGUCCUUACAAUGCUUUAAAAUAGAGAUUUAAUUUUCUAACCCCUAAAUUGCAACUAUUUUGAUCAUGUAAUACAUCGGUUUGCAGGUCAUAUGAAAAUCAGUAUCUGCAACAAUAACUUAUUUUUUCCAAAAACCAAUGGGUAUGUAUUACUUGAAGCAUCACUUGCCAAUACUUCUAAUCAAAUAUGUUUGAAAUUUUAUCCACACAAUCAUGAAUUCUUGGACUGACUAUUUAUUGUUAUGUAACAUAUUUUGAAUAAUGUGGAUACUCAAACUAAAAUCUUCAUAUUCUGAUUUGCUUAUGCUCAUCUUAUUCUCCUUUACAUUGUCUUCAUCAACAUCAGGACUUUAAUAUUCCAGCUUUCUUGUACUAUCAAAUGAUUAAUAUGUUCAGAAUCUUUUGUUGAUUCAAUUUGUGAUUCUGGGCCAGAGACUUUUAGAAGAGAGAAGGCGAAGCAUAUUCAAAGUGACAGCACUGCAGAUUGGCUUUGUCCGCCCAAGUUCAGGUCAAUAGAGUGACAUCUUAUUGAUACUAGUGUUGAUUUUCCAAACUUGAUAUAUUAGCAUCAACAGCUUCUGCAAUACCUUAAGGAAUUGUGAAUUAAUUGGAUCAACUCAUACCACCACCCACCAUAUAUAAAUUUUAACAACUACAAAUAUUUAGAGGAUGGUAGCAUAUUUUAAUGGUUUUGGUCCUAAAAGAAAAUAUAGGUUGAAUAUGUUCUAAAUUUAAUUUAAAGUUAGAUGGUUUAACUAUCAAAUUCCGUCGAUUAUCAUGUGGCAAAUUUUAUCUUCAGAUUACCACUUUGGAUCUUUGGAGCAGUUCCAGAAGGAAGAUUUGUCAUUGCCUGCCUUAAGUUGCAUUCUAAAAGGUCCAUGUGGAGUGAGCUUUUAGUCCCAAGUAUGCGACAAGCAAGAUAUAACAUGGAGGGACUUGCAGAUCUGAUUUUAAAGCAUGAAGAUGCAUAGUUGUUUCUUUGAAAAUAAGAAAACAAUGCCAAAAUCUUGAUUAAGUUUUAUGUGGAGUGGGACUAUUAAUUUGACCUUUAAGAUUUCAGUCUAGUAUCUUAUCUUGUUCUUUGAGAAAUCAAUGUGCUAUUGUCUUGAAGCAGUUGUUUUGAAUUCCCUUGUUGAACUUGUAUUUUGACUUGGAAUGAUGUCUUUGUAUUGAGUUUUUCAUCCAUCUUGAAUUUUCUUCUUUGCUAGAUGCAGAAAAGUAACAAGUUUGGUCAAAUAUUACUUCAAAUGGAAUUUUCAUGUUAUGCUAGUUCAUCAAAGAUCAUAUGCUAUUUUUCCGUUAUUUAUAUUCGGAUCGAUUAUUGAACCGGAAAAGUGAUAGAUUUGUAGUUCGAUGGUCGGAUCAGUGGUUGAACUACAGUUGACUUGUGAAAUCAUAAAUAUAUGAUUUAUGUAUUAUUAAAAUUAAAAAUAAUUAUUAAAAAAAAUAAAAAAUGAUAAAUUCUAUUGAAAUUUUUGACAACAUUCUUGUCUUUGUCGAGUUAUUUCAUGGAAGUUUUUACCCAUAAAAUCUUCUUAUGUUCUAUUUCAUAGCACAAUAUAUGAUGUUAUACCUUCAUCGAUAUAAAUCAACAUAUUGACCAAAAUAUUUAUAUAUGACAUCUACAUAUAAGUAUUAAUGAUCAAUUUCUCAAUAAGUUUUUAACAUAUCAUCCGUGAUAUAAUCGCCCAUCACAACAUAAAUAGUUGCUUAAAAUAUAACAUGUCACUGUUUAAUUGAUUCAUAAGCAAUUAUUUGCAUCAAUUUUAAACUUUAUUUUUAGUUUUAACUUCAAUUUCAAUUUAAAACUUUUUCUUUAAUUUUGAUUUUAAUUCUAAUCUAUGUCUUAAUUUUAAUUCCCAUUAUAAUAUUAAUAUUAAUAUUAAUUUUUUGUUUUCAUAAUAAUAAUAAUAAUAAUAAUAAGUUUAAUUUUGUGUUUAAUAAUAAUAAUAAUAAUAAUGGGUCCUAUUUUUUUUUAAGUAUAUUUGAUAAUAUAAAUUUUAAACCACUUAAAAUUAAAAGCACUUAAAAUCCACUUAUUUCAUUUAGCAAUAGAGAUCUAACUAAUUAUUUAUAACACAACAUGUUCGAUGACUUUUAAAUUUUUAUAACUUUUUUAUUCCAUCCUAACCAUUUUUUUUAUAAAAUAAUGAUUUUUAUUAUUGAAUUAUUUUUAUUAUAAAAUUUCACUUCCUCUAAAUUAAAACGCUUUCUUUUGAAUUAAAAUAUUUCAUUACUAAUUCCUUAAUACAAUAAAAUUAAUUUCUAAAAAAAUUAUUUUAUACAAGUUCUUUUAAAAUAGAAUAUUUUGUUUUUAUUGAUUUUUAAUAAUUUAAUACAAUAAAUUAGAAUUCUAAACAACCUCUAUUUAAUCAAUUUAUAAGAAUUACUCUCUCACGUCUUUUAUUUUAAGUUUUCCUAUCAAUAUGUAUAUAUCAUAAUAAUUUAUUUAUUUAUUUUUAAUUCCUUAAUAUGAUAAAAUUAAAAUUAUAAUAAAUUCUAUUUAAUUGAUUUAUAAGAAUAACAAUUAUAAAAAAUUUCUUGGUUUGUAUAAUUAUAGAGAAAAGAAAAAAAGAAAAAGAAACAAUUUAAAAGGUAGAAUGUAUGAACUUUUUAUGUGUUGUAAAAUAAAAGAAUAAUGAUAAGAAAAUACGAGAGAAUAAACAAAGACAUUCAAAGAAAAGUAGAAUAGAAUGUAGGAAAAGAACGAGAUGAAUUUUCAUUAGAGGUAUCUCCCUUUUAUAGGGAGUUACAAACGGAUAUAUAUCAAUAUGGAUGAUCAUUCAGAAAUUUUCAUAAUCCGAUAAAUUCUUAUAUUUUAUAACACUCCCCCUUGAAUGAUUAUAAGAAUAUGCCUUAUCAAAACCUUAUUGGGAAAAACCCUAGUGAAGGAAAAAAAAGUACAAUAUUCUUUUGGAUUACUACGACUGCCUCAUUAAAAACCUUACCAGUAAAACCCAAUGAGACAAAACCUGGACGAAGGAAAAAAGAGUGUAGCGUAGUGAUAUUCUUAUCAAUUAGCUCUCCCUCAUGUUGACAUGAUUAUGUUUUCUUUAGUAGUACAACAUGGAGAUCUUUGAGUCGGUGUAUUCCAAUGAGCUUCUUGAGUAUUGCAGUUGACAAUACCUUUGUGAAUAGAUCUACUAAAUUGUCACUUGAUCUUAUUCAUCGAAUAACAAUUUCAUCACUCUUCUGGAGUUAAUGAAAGUAAAAGGCUUGAGCAAUAUAUGCUUAAUUCUAUCACCCUUGAUGUAUCAUACUUUAAUAAGUGCAAUACAUGUAACAUUAUUAACUUGGUAGCAUUACCUCUAAUGGAUGGUAGUCCACAUUUUUCCAUUAUUUGCUUGAUUGAUCUCCACAAUAUUGUCGUACCACCAUAGAUAAAUACAUAUUUCAUUUGAGAUCGAGCAUUGUGGGGGUUUGAAAGAUAGUCAACAUCUACCUUGAAGAUAACAUAAACCCAUAUUAUUGUAUUACAUGAUUGAUUUUAUUCCAAUGUCUUUAAGGUGGUGUAGAACUAUAUUUCACAAGUAAAUUAACAAGGAAUGCAAUAUCUGGUUGUGUAUAAUUUGCAAGAUUCAUCGGUACACCAAUAACAUUGUAAUAUGGUACUUCUAGACCAAGUAGUUCUUCAUUAUCUUCUUUAGGACAUAAGAGCUUAUUUUUCACUUCAAGUGAAUGAACUAUCAUCAGAGAACUUAAUGAAUGUGAUUUAUCCAUAUGAAGGUGCUUCAAGACUUUCUUUGUAUAUGUUGACUAAUAAACUAAUAUUUCGUUUGAAAAGUACUUGAUCUAUAAGCUGAGGAAAAAUUUUUGUUGUCCAGGAUCUUUUAUUUCAAAUUUACUUUUCAAAUAGUCAACUAUUUUGGUAAGCUCUUUAAGAGUUCCAACAAAAUUCAAUGUUCCACAUAUACUAUAAUAAUUGUAAAUAUUCCACAUAAUGAAUAUGCAUAGACAAAUAAGAUAACACAUACAUACUUUUCACUUCAAAUAUUCAUUGAAGUGAUCAUACCACAAUUCUUUGGAUUGCUUAAUCGAUACAAGGAUCUUUGUAGCUUAAUUGAGUAUAUGUUACAAUGUUUGAAUUAAUUGCUUUAGGCAUUUGAAAUCCUUCAGGGUAUAUAUAUAUAUAUCUAAAGAUCCAUGUAAAUAUGCAGUAACGACAUCCAUGAGACACAAAUCCAGUCAUUCUAAGAUUGUUAAACAAAUUAGAUAUCUAAAUAUGGUUGCGUCCAUCAUAGGAGAAUAUGUUUUCUCGUAGUCAAUACUAGGUUUCUGUGAGAAACCUUGAGCUAUGAGUCAUGUUUCAUAUCUUGUGAUUUCAUUUUUCUCAUUACACUUUCUUAUAAAGUUUCAUUUAUAUCCAACAAGUUUGACAACUUCAGGAGUUUGGACUACAGAUCCAAAUACUUCAUGUUUUUCUAAUGAGUCUAAUUUUUUCGAGAUGUAUUCUUUCCAUUUUGGCCAAUCUUUUCUAUGUUGACAUUCAUUCAUAGUUUCUACUUUGGGAUCCUCAUCAUUUCUUAUGAUGUCAAUAGCUAUUUGGAAAGAAAAUAUAUUGUCAAUGACAAAAGUAUUUCAAUCCCAUUUUUCUCUAUAUAUAAGUAAAUAAUUGAGACUUCAUCAAUAUCAGGUACUUGUACUUUUUCAAGAGCUAAUUGUAAAACAUAUGUCUUUCAUAGGGUUACUCGUUUAAAUUAUGCCUCUUCAGGGGUUGCUUGAGACCGAUAAGUCAUUUUAAUAACUCAUUUUAUAUGCAACUUCUUUAAGAGUGCCACAUUUCAUAUAUCUUUCCUUGUGUUUUCCUCUUCUAGGGAAUGUGUUUGUCUCUUUAGGGUCUGCCAUGUUUCAAGCAUGCCUUAGACUCAUUAUUUAAUUGUCCUUCAGGGACAUCAACUCAUUAUUUAAUCGUCAUUUAGGGACAUCACCGCAUUAUUUAAUUGUCCUUCAAGGACAUCAAUUCGUACUGUAAUAUUCUAGGUUAGUAAAAAUGAUUUUGUCACUUUCUUUGCAUCAAUGAAAACAUUUGGUAGUUGAUUUGAAAUUUUUUACAAAUAAAUAAUCUUUUAAACUUCUAGUUCACAUUGAUUAGUACGCUAAUCAAGAUAAGUCAAAGUCAAUGCAUUCCAAAUAAUUUCAUAUCAUUCUUUUGGAACAGGCUCUUCUCCUCCCAAUGAUGAGAAAAUUGUCUCAUUAAAAUGAUAAUAUACAAAACAUGUCAUUCUACCUUUUAAGUGUAUAGGUAAACUAGUCACUAAAUAAAAACUUCUGGUUUUAUAAUGUACAUCCAUAUGACCUUUUACCUUAGGGGACCAAGUUAGUCUUACUAGAUUCUUCUGCAUUUAACAUCGUAUAAAUCAAAUACUAUUAGUGACAUAAUAUAAGCUCUUUUGGAGCCUUUAAUUAGGUUUCUAUCACCUGAUAUAGUAUUAACAUUGUCUGUCAUCAAUGUUGUGUAAUUAAUAACACAAGAGUUUCAUCAAAAUAACAACUCAUAAAGACCUUGCCUUUAUAGAGUUGAAGAAAUAUUAUCAUAGAGAAAGAGUUAAAUCAAUGAAAAAUAUUAGUCAUCGAUGAUAACUUAACUUAAUAAGUUGUGUAAAAGCAAUGAGAGCAUAUAUAACACAAUAAAACAAAUAUGAAAAAGAUAAUUUAAAGUUAUAUAUUUCUUAAAUAUCUAAACCAUUUUAUUUUGUAAGUGUGAAACAAUUUAUACAUGAAAUAACUAGGAAGUAUUUCAAUAAUCAAACUAAUUGUAGUGAUAGAUCAAUAAUUUUGUUCAAAAUAUUAUUAUGAUGUAAAUCAAUGUGCAAAAAUUAUUUUAUAAAUAAAAAUUUCAAGAGAACAUAUCAUGAUUUAAAACAUCUUGUUGUCUCAAAACUUUAAUUGAAAUACUAUAAAUCCAUCUAAACAUAUAUGUAAAUAUAUAACAUAAUAUAUUGAGAACAAUAGUUGAAUCUAUUUUAAUUUCAAAAUUAAUUUUGGAUAAUGAAAUUAUUGCAUUAAUAAAAAAAGCAUAUGUGGCAACAUGUAAUAAUAUAUUAUUUUAUAUAACUCAAAAAUUUUCAAUCAUAAAAACAUGUUAUAAAGAAAAUUGACAAGUAAAAUCAAUUUAUUAAUCCUAUGACCAAGUCAUAUAUUUCAUAUGUAUCCAAAAAAUCUUAAUUUGUUAAAUCAAAAGAUUAUUGUGUAUUAAACAAUUAGAAUAACAAAAAUAUUUCAAACUAUCAUCUCUAAUACAAAAAUAUCAUACUUUCAUGCAAUCCAAAAUUCCACAUCUAUAUGUAAAUUUUUCUACUAAUAACAAUAUAACUUCUAAUAAUAGAAAUUUAUAAAAACUAUCAAACACUUACCUAUUUGUAUAACUUGAUGUACAAAAUAUUAAUCUUUUGAUAAUAUGUAAAUAUUAUCUAUAUGCUUGUUAUCAUAGCUUCAGACCAUAACAUAUUUCAUUAUAACUUUAGGUUAUAUACAUUUCAUAAAGUUGUACAAAAUUAUUAGUUAACAAUUUUGUUCUCUAUAGCUUCUAACUAUAAGAAAGUACAUAUUAACAACUUUGGCAUAACCUUUGAUUAGCACAAAGAAUAUUAAUUUUCUUAUUUUCAUAACUUCGGACUAUGCAUGAAUAAUAAUAUUUAUAUAACUUAUGGUUAUAUAAUAUAAAUUUAUAAUAAAAAAAAAAAUAUUUUUUCAUAUAGCUUUUGGCCAUACAAGUUUUAACAAUUAUUAAUUUACUAACUUUUUCUUCAUAGCUUUAGGUUAUGAAUAAUUAAAAUUUAAGUAAUAUUAUAAUAACAUUAAACAAUUGAGAAUUGACAAUUAUGUUAUGAUAUAACCUCUGGUUAUAUCAUAAGAAAGUACAUCAAUGUCCUAAUUAAGUUUUAUACUAGAGUGGGACUCCUAUGAAUGAUUAAAUUGCAUAGAAUUCAAUUUAUUUAUGUCUAUCAAUCUUUGUUUAAUUUCUAUAGAAAAUAUUAAUAGAAGGAACUAUUUCAUAUUUUAGUAUAAUUUAAGCUUGAUUGAUACUACUUCUUAAAAAUGUUAAAAGGAUUAAAUUGAGAUAUGAAUUACAGUACCUAUUGAUUUUUUAUAAUUUAUAAAAAAAAUUAAGAUAGCAAAGGAAAAUGAGGAGAAAGAGAAUUAGUACUAGGGUUUUAAAUGAGUGUGGUGAUGAAGAUGAUGGGAUAAGCCCUUCAUCCAACCUUUGAGGGCUAGCAGAAGUUCUUUAAGCCCUUUUAUGGGUGUUGUUUUUUUUUUUUUGAAAUCUAAAUAGUAAGUUAAUCAUUUAAAGCCAAGUCAUAAGUCUACUAUGAGUGAAUUGAAUUUCCCUCAUUAAACUUUCUUUGUAUUUGAGGUUGAUAUUGUAUGGUUAUGAUAAUUUUGUUUUUUUGACAUGCAAUAGAGUUUGCUCCUCCUUUGUAUUGACAAGCUGCUCAAUUUGCAUUUUUAUUUUAUUUGCCAAUAACAGCUUAAAGCUUGUGGAAAAUUAGGUUGACAACAUAUCAAGUUGGGUUACAUUGGAAUGAGGCUUUUGGAUUUUAUUAUUUAAUAAUCUCGUAUGUGUGCACUAAGAGCCAGUCUGAUGGUUAUACUUUUUAAAUAAAAAAAUAAAAAUUCAAGUAUUGAAAAGGCUAAAACCACUUUUUAAAAUCAUUUUCAAAUACAUUAUUAAGUUUAAUAAUAUCAGUAUAACUCAUAGCAUAUUUAGAUGAAUAUGUGAUAAUUAGAACCCUUUUAAUAUUUGAAAGUAUUUAUUUCCCAUAAAAAUUAGCUAUUUUGUAAAUAAAUUAAUAAUUGUUUUAAAAAUCUAAAAAAAUCAUUUAAGUAAUUUUUAAACUAGUAACUAAGAGAUGCUUCUUUUAAUUAUUUUUAUUAUGUAAUAUAUCACCAAAAAUACUAUCAAGUCACCUUUUGGGUUUAUAUCUAGACCUUAAUUUGACUAAAUGGAAAUAGAUCUUAAUAUUAUUAAAUAUCAAUUUGUUUUUAAUAUUGAAGUGUUAAUUUUUUUUUCUCAGUGAUGUGUUACUAUUUCUAUGAGUUAAAUGAAGAAUCUUUAUCCUUAAAAAAUAAUUUAUUUUAUUUUACUUAUUUUAAAUAAUUUUCAUAAAGAUGUUUCGAAACUAAUAAUUUAAAAAAUAUUAAUUUGAUAUAUUUAGGAACAACCUUAAAUAUUAAAAAAAAAUUAUAAUAUGAUUUUAUCUCAUUCAAAUAAGAUAUUUGAAACUUAAUAAUUUGAUAAAAAGAUAGUACUUUAAUAUAGCUUUUAAUAUCCUAAAGUACCAAAACUGAUUGCAAUAACCAAAACUUUAGGGAAAAGUGAGUUCUAAUUUACUAAUUUAAAAAAAUAUAAACAAAAAUAUUCUAACUUUUAUAAAUCAAUUUUAUCUUCACUCAUCUAAAAAUAUUUUAAAAUAAAUGCAAUUUUUUAUAACUGAAAAAAAAUUAAACUUUUUAUUUUUAUUUUUAUUUUUAUUUUUUUAUUUCUUUUAACCCUGAGAACUGAUUUGAGAUUAAUAAAAUAAGAAAUUUUAAAAAUUAAAAAUACAAUUAAAACUAAAAGAACUUUAAAUCUAAAAAUAUAAAAGUAAAAUAUUAACUUUUACUUAGUUAAAACAAUAUGGUAGAAAAUAUAGAUAUCGAGAAAGUGUUGAAAAUACAAUAGGAGUAAAUAUUUAAUUUUUUAUUUUAAAGUUUUUUUAAUUGUAUUUAAUUUUUAUGUAUUUUAGUUUUAAUUGUAAUUGUAAUUUUAAAAUUUUCUUAUUUUAUUGUUGAUGUCAACUAACAAAAUUUUUAUUCAAUUUUAUUUUAAAAAUAAAAGAAAAUGAGGGAAUUUAUAUAAUACAUGAUAUAAAAUCAUUAUUAAUUAAUAUAACAAAGUAAAAUGAUAUUUCAGAAAAUAAUUAUUUGACUUAUAAAAAAGUAAUGUAUUUUAAAAUAUUUUUAAAUUAAUGAAAAUAAAACCAAUUUAUAAAUAUUGAUUUUUUUUUUCUAUUUUCUUUCAAAUUAGUGAGUCAAAACCUACUUUUUUUCAUCAAAUUAUAUGAAAUUAUAAUUUGAUUUAUUUUUAAGUAGUUUUUUAAAAGUAAAUUGGUUUUCUUUAGGAAAAUAACUAUUGUAAAGUUAAAAGAAAAACAACAUUUUUCAUUGACAGAAAAUAAGAAAAUAAAAAUUCAACCUUUUCAUUAACACAAACUUGUCUUAAAAUAAUUAAUAAUUAGGGAAAAAAAAAAGGCGAGGUCACUAGUUAAUUCUUGUAAAAGCAUUUCUAAAGAAGUAAUAAAAGACUAGAGAUUAAAUACACUUUUAUUUUAACCACUUGCAAACAAGCCCUCAAUUAAUAAACAACAAAUAUGAUAAAAUAUCAUUUGAGAUCAUAUUUAUUUAACAUUAAAAUUUCAUGGCAUGCUUCCUAAAACUGUGUAAUUUGAUUGUAAUUCAUUUUUCCCAUGCGAUUUUAAGCCUCUUCUUUAUCUUUAUAAAAUUUUAUGAGCAAACAUAAAAUAUGAUAGUCACUUAGAAAGCCUUAAGGUUGUUUGAUUCUCAAAAAAUUUGAAUUAAAAGCAAGGGAAGAAAGUAGAAAAAAAAUAAAAGUAAAAGAAAAUAAAAAACUAGAUAUAGAGUCAAUUAAUUAUUUGUUAUGUACUAUUUUAAACCCAUUUAAUUUAUUUUAACGUUUUUAUAUAAAGAUUGAAUAAAAAUAUAUAAGUUUCUAUCUAAUUUUAUUUUUAUUUAUUUAUUUUUAUAUUUUUCUUAAUAAAAUGGAAUAUGAGAAAAACAUUUUUUUUCCUAAAAAUGAAAGACUAAGCAAAUGAAGUCAAAUUUAGCCGAAACUUGAAUUUGAUAAAUCUAGAAACCUUAAAAAUCAACUUCUAAAUCAAAUGAUCAUAAAAAAACCAUCAAUUAAGCCUUAAUCUAAAAUGGUUCCAAAUUUGCCUAAAAAAAACUUAUUAAUUAAGUUCCAAAAAUUAUGAAACUCUCAAGAUCUAAUAUAUAACAAAAACCGUUUCAACAUACCAUGUUGAAAAUCUAUUAAUGUUUUCUAAAUUAUUUUCCUAUAAAAAUGAAUUUGGAAUUACAUGACAUUAGACUCUACAUUCUUGCAACCCAUGCUCAACAUCAUUUUCUUCUUCAAAGGGUGGUCCAGAUUCCUUUCCAUCUUAUCUUUGUGUGGUGGACAUUCAAGGGUCUCUUUUCAACAUUUUGCAACUCAGGUGGGUGAUUUUGUCAAUGUCAUACUGUUCAAAGUCUCUUAAUGUUGUAAAGUAUUGAAGGGGAAGGCCUUUCCAACAUGUUAUGCAUCCAGAAAACAUACAAUCAAUAAUUUUAUUAUUGGUCCAGAAGCCUGUUGUUGAGUUUAUCGUGGAGAUUAUAGGUCCUGCAAAUUAAAUAUGUAUAAGGUUGAUGUAUAUUUUCUUAUUUAUUUGUAAGGCAGGGAUCAAUUGCAACCCAUAAGAUAUGGGUGGGUAGAAAAUGAGUUCAUCUGUACAUUUGGCAUUAGUUGAUAGGCCAUCUUCUUCAUCUACCUCUUUCUUCUAUCCAAGGCCCAGGCUCUUCCUCGUUGCUUUGCAUCUGCUUUCUCUCAUUCUUCUCUGAUCCACUACUCGCUUCCCUUACAAACCAACAGACAUGGCCGGGGCUGUAGCAGGAGGGGGAGCACUUCUCUCGGCUUCUCUCCAAGUUAUAUUUGAUCGGAUGGCUUCUCGCGACGUCCUCACCUUCCUCCGGGGACAGAAACUCAGUGCUACGCUCCUAAGGAAGUUGCAGAUGAAAUUGCUGGAAGUUCAGGCAGUGCUGAAUGAUGCCGAGGCCAAGCAAAUCACGAAUUUAGCUGUUAAAGAUUGGGUCGAUGAGCUAAAAGAUGCUGUGUAUGAUGCGGAGGACCUGGUGGAUGAUAUCACCACUGAAGCUUUACGGCGCAAGAUGGAGUCUGAUUCUCAAACUCAGGUACGGAACAUCAUCUUUGGUGAGGGGAUCGAAUCCAGGGUAGAGGAGAUCACUGACACACUAGAAUAUCUUUCACAAAAAAAAGAUGUUCUCGGGUUGAAAAAAGGCGUUGGAGAAAAUUUGUCAAAAAGAUGGCCGACGACUUCCUUGGUAGAUGAGUCUGGGGUGUACGGUAGGGAUGUUAACAGGGAGGAGAUAGUUAAAUUUUUGUUGUCCCAUAAUACAAGUGGGAAUAAGAUAAGUGUGAUCGCCCUGGUGGGUAUGGGCGGUAUUGGAAAGACCACACUUGCUAAGCUGGUGUAUAAUGAUAGGAGAGUGGUGGAAUUUUUUGAC
rnacentral:lncRNA from 1 species